rnacentral:lncRNA from 1 species
AAAAAAUUUAAAAAGUGCUUAUGAAAUUAAAUAAGCACUUAUGACUUUUAAAUAAAUCAUACCAAACAGGCACUAAAUCUAUCAUUAAAAUUCAGCAUAAAAAACACCACGCAUGAUGAGAAUUUAAGGGGCAAAAUACACAAAUGCAUGCACAUACAUCAAAAUGAAUUAAGGUAUGGUACCAUCUAAGCUAAUUAAAAAACAAAUUAAAUUCUUUAUAAAAAAAAAACAAAUUAAAUUUUUAAAAAGAAAAGUCUAUAAAACUGUUUUGUGCCCCAUAUCGGCAUAUCCUCGAAUUGUGCAAAAUAAAAAUUUCUUAUUCGGCAACUUAAUCUUAGACCAAUACAAAGGCUACAACCAAUAGCAUUAGCCUACCGUCACCGGAUACCCCAGAUGAAUGAGGUGACCAGCGGGGGCUGGCGAGGAUUAGGCAGACGAGCGGCGGCUGUGAGUGAUGGGUGCCGGCGAAGAUGGCCGUGAGAGAGUGAGACCGUGAGUGAUGAGAGUGAGUCCGAGACCGUGACCGUCGGCACCGGGCCGUUGGCGUCACCUGAGAGGCUGCGAGAGAGAGAGAUUGCUGUUUGCUGACUGGCUGUGCAGUGCGCCGUUGUCUGCCGUGUGCAUGAGACUUGAGAGAGAGAUUUUACCGAUUGUUAGAUUCAUCUAAGAAUUGAUUAAAUUGACUUUUACAUUUUUCUUUUAUAUUUUAAAUUAGUUUUUUUAAGUUAAAUUAAAGCGAAGCAAUCGAUUUGUCAAAACCGAACUGCACACAAACCAAUCGGUUUGCUAGUUUUCGAACUAUUCGAAUUGUGCCCUUUGAACCAAACCGAACCAAACUCAAAUUUUUUUAUUUGAUUUGGCUUGGUUCGGUAAAAACUGAACCAUUUACCCACCCCAAACUAUAAAGAGGUUACAACAUAAUAUUCAUGUGAUUACAAAUUAUUAAUUUGACUUAAUUAUCCUCAGUGCAAGUGAUAUAGAGAUUAGAGGUAAAGUAUGCACUAUAUUAAUCUUAUAUAAUUCAGAAUAUGCUAAGUUAUCUUAAAAGUCCAAAUGUUUGUAUUUUCUUUAAUGUUUUUCUCUCUAUGUAAAUUCUAUAAAUAUUAUUCAAUAAUUUAGUAACA